AACCAAAUGAAGAUCAGCGAGAGAAAGUGCUCGUGGCCAACCUCUGCUUGAUCCUCGACGUGUCUGGCCAGCUGACUGAGCGCCAAGCAACCCUGGUAGACAAGGAGUCAUUGUGCGUGAGGAGCGCGGCAAGGUGUGGUGUAGCUCCAGCUUCGAUCACAACUUGGGACAACUCCGGGGAUGGAAGAAGAGAUUGCUGAGCUUUUACAUACCUGGACGCAAAGAAUGAGGAAUCCAAUCGCUCGAGCGUCCGCCACGGCCUGGGCGAGACGAGCGUUGUGCCUGGCGAUGUUGG